rnacentral:lncRNA from 1 species
UAAAACCUGUGCAGUUUAUAAUCAUAUAUCACAUCACUCGAUAAUUCAAAUUUAUGGCAACCCAAGCCAACUUGACAAACAUGAACAACAUUUAUAAAUCCACAAGCUAAAUAAAUUAUACAAUCAGAACUCCAACUAUUCACCACAAGUUCAUAUCGUCAUAAAUUAGACUUAACAUUCCGAAAUUCCAAAUAAGAGAGAUCUUCUAAUACUUUUACACAAUAUAUCCAUUUCGAU